ACGCUAGCUACAGGCUUAACACAUGCAAGUCGAGGGGCAGCAUGGAAGAAGCUUGCUUCUUCUGAUGGCGACCGGCGCACGGGUGCGUAACGCGUAUCAAACCUGCCUCAUACUCGGGGAUAGCCUUGCGAAAGUAAGAUUAAUACCCGAUGUUGUUAUGUUGCCGCAUGGUGAUAUAACCAAAGAUUUAUCGGUAUGAGAUGGUGAUGCGUCCGAUUAGGUAGUAGGCGGGGUAACGGCCCACCUAGCCUUCGAUCGGUAGGGGUUCUGAGAGGAAGGUCCCCCACACUGGAACUGAGACACGGUCCAGACUCCUACGGGAGGCAGCAGUGAGGAAUAUUGGUUAAUGGACGGAAGUCUGAACCAGCCAAGUAGCGUGCAGGAUGACGACCCUCCGGGUUGUAAACUGCUUUUAGUUGGGAAUAAAAAAGAGGACGUGUCCUCUAUUGCAUGUACCUUCAGAAAAAGGACCGGCUAAUUCCGUGCCAGCAGCCGCGGUAAUACGGAAGGUCCAGGCGUUAUCCGGAUUUAUUGGGUUUAAAGGGAGCGUAGGCGGAUUAUUAAGUCAGUGGUGAAAGACGGUGGCUCAACCAUCGUUAGCCAUUGAAACUGGUAGUCUUGAGUGCAGACAGGGAUGCUGGAACUCGUGGUGUAGCGGUGAAAUGCUUAGAUAUCACGAUGAACUCCGAUCGCGAAGGCAGGUGUCCGGGCUGCAACUGACGCUGAGGCUCGAAAGUGUGGGUAUCAAACAGGAUUAGAUACCCUGGUAGUCCACACAGUAAACGAUGUAUACUCGCGGUUUGCGAUACAAUGUAAGCCGCCAAGCGAAAGCAUUAAGUAUACCACCUGGGGAGUACGCCGGCAACGGUGAAACUCAAAGGAAUUGACGGGGGCCCGCACAAGCGGAGGAACAUGUGGUUU
rnacentral:rRNA from 1 species